rnacentral:ncRNA from 1 species
UGAUAAUAUUGGCAAAACUAGGGAAACCUAGUGACGCAAAGCUAUAGGGCCCUACGGGGUAGCCAGUUGCUCUC